rnacentral:rRNA from 1 species
GACGAACGCUGGCGGCGUGCUUAACACAUGCAAGUCGAACGGAAAGGCCCUGCUUUUGUGGGGUGCUCGAGUGGCGAACGGGGGAGUAACACGUGAGUAACCUGCCCUUGACUUUGGGAUAACUUCAGGAAACUGGGGCUAAUACCGGAUAGGAGCUCCUGCUGCAUGGAGGGGGUUGGAAAGUUUCGGCGGUUGGGGAUGGACGCGCGGCUUAUCAGCUUGUUGGUGGGGUAGUGGCUUACCAAGGCUUUGACGGGUAGCCGGCCUGAGAGGGUGACCGGCCACAUUGGGCCUGAGAUACGGCCCAGACUCCUACGGGAGGCAGCAGUGGGGAAUAUUGCACAAUGGGCGGAAGCCUGAUGCAGCAACGCCGCGUGCGGGAUGACGGCCUUCGGGUUGUAAACCGCUUUCGCCUGUGACGAAGCGUGAGUGACGGUAAUGGGUAAAGAAGCACCGGCUAACUACGUG